GGAAAAGGAUGUGCAGUUGCACAGACAACCAGGAUGUUGGCUUAGAAGCAGCCACUCAUUUAAAGAGUGCGUAAUAGCUCACUGGUCGAGAGAGGGUGCGCCGAAAAUUACCGGGGCUAAAACUUGUCACCGAAGUUUAGGAAUGUAAUUUAUUACAUUGGUAGAGGAGCAAUCUAUGCGGGCUGAAGCGGUAUCGAAAGGGGCCGUGGACUGCAUAGAAGAGAGAAUGCCGGCAUAAGUAGCGAGAGGGAAGUGAGAAUCUUCCCCGUCGAAUGCCUAAGGUUUCCUGGGGAAGGUUUGUCCCCCCAGGGUAAGUCGGGACCUAAGCCGAGGCCGAAAGGCGUAGGUGAUGGACAGCAGGUAGAUAUUCCUGCACCACCGAGCGACGUUUAAAUGAGGCAAUGACACAGUAGGAUAGUCAAUCCGCGGAGUUGGAUUUCUGCGGCCAAAUCGUGAGGCUUACACGUAGUGAAGUACGCGUGCUUUAAGGCUGGGCGAUGAUGGGGAGUGAAAAUUAGUAACGAAGUUGAUGAAUUCACACUGGCGAGAAAAGUUGCUAAAUAUGUUGUUAGGUGCCCGUACCGCAUACCGACACAGGUGGGCGAGGAGAAAAUCCUAAGACGGACGGGAUAACCCUUGUUAAGGAACUCUGCAAAAUGACCCCGUAACUUCGGAAGAAGGGGAGCCUACGAAAGUAGGCCGCAGUGAAGAGGCCCAAGCAACUGUUUACCAAAAACACAGGUCUCUGCAAAAUCGUAAGAUGAUGUAUAGGGGCUGACGCCUGCCCAGUGCUGGAAGGUUAAGGGGAUGUGUUAGCGCAAGCGAAGCACGGAACUUAAGCCCCAGUGAACGGCGGCCGUAACUAUAACGGUCCUAAGGUAGCGAAAUUCCUUGUCAGGUAAGUUCUGACCCGCACGAAUGGCGUAAUGAUUUGGGCGCUGUCUCAACAGGGGACCCGGCGAAAUUGUAUUAUACGUGAAGAUGCGUAUUACCCGCGACUGGACGGAGAGACCCCGUAGAGCUUUACUGUAGCUUGGUAUUGAAGUUCGGUGAUUUAUGUACAGGAUAGGUGGGAGACUUGGAAACAGGGGCGUCAGCUUCUGCGGAGUCACCCUUGGGAUACCACCCUUGAAUCAUUGGACCUCUAACACUAGACCGUAAUCCGGCUGGUGGACAGUGCCAGGUGGGCAGUUUGACUGGGGCGGUCGCCUCCCAAAAUGUAACGGAGGCGUUCUAAGGUUCCCUCAGGAUGGUUGGAAAUCAUCCAAAGAGCGUAAAGGUAGAAGGGAGCUUAACUGCGAGACAGACAUGUCGAGCAGAUACGAAAGUAGGACUUAGUGACCCGGCGGUAGAGUAUGGAAUUGCCGUCGAUUAACGGAUAAAAGUUACCUCGGGGAUAACAGGCUG
rnacentral:rRNA from 1 species